ensembl:lncRNA
UGAGGUGGAGGGUGCUGGACCUCCUAGAGACCAGGGUGAGGGAGUGCUCUGCGGCCCAGGGGGGAGUUGGGGGCCUCUCGGUCACACUGUGGGAGUGGGGCUCAUCUGGUUGCCCAGUUGGGACAUUUUUGAGUGCUUUCGGAGAGCCUGGCUUUGUGCUGGGCACUGACCUUCCUUGGGUCAGGCAUGGCCCCCUGAGCCUUAGGCGACUGGACACAGACUGAGCCCUGAGGGUGGGAAAGAUGUCAUCAAAGGUGGUCUCCAGGCCAGCUCACCUGGUCAUCUGUAAAUAUGAAGUGGGGGGCUAGGCAUGCAAGACAGAUGUGCAACACCAUCUCCCCUGCCUAGAGCAUGCCUGGCACCAAGCAGAAACUCAGUAUUUGUUGAAGAACCAUCAGACUUUUGGCCCCACCAUCUGUGGUGAAGACAGACACCAAACAAGCAGUUAGUGGUGCUGGUUGACACGUAGCACUAACCAUGCCAGACGCUCCUUGCUGGGCUCGUAUUAGUCUGCCAGGGCAGCCAUGCCAACGUGCCACCUGCGGGGUGGCUUAUAACAACAGAAGUUAUUCUGUCACAGUUCUGGAGGCUGAAGUCCAGAGCCAAGGUGUUGGCAGGAAGGUUCCCUCUGGAGUUUCUGAGGGAGAGUCUGUCCCAUGCCCCUCUCCUGGCUUCUGCUGGUUGCCAGCAGCCCUUCGUGUUCCUUGGCUUGUAGACACAUCGCUCUGAUCUCCACCUCUGUUUUCAUGAGCCUGUCUUGUCUUUGUGAGGCUCACGUCAUCUUCCCUUUAUGAGGACAGCAGCCAUACUGGACUAGAGCCCCCCUUCCUGACCUCAUCCUGACUUGACCAUCUGCAAAGACUCUACUUCUAGAGAAGCCCAUCGCAGGGCCUCCCUGACGCAGAACAGGAUGGCUGCAGCAGCAGCUACUGGAUGAACUUCAAGACAUGCCAAAUGAGAAUUGAGUUAUGGUCCAGCCUUGUGAUUUCCAGCAGCUGUCAUUGCAGCGUGACCCAACAAUGGCAGGGUACGGUGACCACAUGCUGCCAGACAGCGCCUCAAGGCUGUUUCAGCACCUCGGACAGAGGUGCCCCUUGGAAAGCCGGGGCCUCCAGAGUUCAGACUGGCGUUUAUGCCUGCUCCAGCAGGCUAAAUACCAUUGCCUUUGGCAUUCAAGGCUCAGCGGAGUCCUGUGAAAUGCCAGCCACUCCAAACUGACUUAAAAUACGAGCCCAGCAGUCAGGGGCCAUCGGUCCACACACCACCACCCUGCCUGAGGUCUCAGAUUGGCAUGGGGCCUCAUGUCUUUGCCCAGACCUGCCCUCCAAGGCCACCUAGAUUUGCCUUAGGGCCCAAGAUCUGCUGUUUUCUAGAAAGAACCAGAGUGCAGCGGCCGGUGGAACGCACCACCUGGCCACAAGGAGAAGCUCAAAUCCCCGCCCUACACCUUCAGGGGAGGAGCUCACAGGGAGCCCCCUCUACUUCCCUCAUCCCUCUUGCCUGCACCUUACAGUCUCUUCUUUAAUUUCUCUACCUUUAUUCUGUCCCCCAUAUAAGCCCAUUCUUCCCUUUUCUGGUCACCACACAUUGAUUUGUCUUUGAGGGUCCCUUUCCACCCCAGACCCUGUGGUGCAGGGGAAGCUGCUAGACACCCUCCCCUCAUAAACACUCCCUCCGUUUACCUCCACUCCCCCACCCCCCAUUACCUCCCAACUUCCCACCACUCCACCAUGUGGGUAGGCAUGUGACCCAGGCGAGGCCAAUCAGCAUUCCAUCUUCCUGGCCACAGGGAUUGGUUGAGGGAUGGGCGACUGACCCAAAUAAGUCCAAUGAGUGUCUUCCUGUGUGCUUGCUGGAAUUAUUGGGAAUGAUGUACUCUCUUUUGACUGAUAUUUCUAAGGCGUGAGAGGAAAGGCUGGAGACAGCCUGGGAAUGAGGUCAACACAGAAGAAAGCAGAGCCAAGGGAGAUAGACAGAUUUCUGGUGAUGUCAUUUAAGCCCCUGAAUCCAGCCAUGCCUGAAGCUAACUACCUCUAGUUUUUUUCUUAAACAAGCC